rnacentral:rRNA from 1 species
UGGGGAAUAUUGCACAAUGGGCGCAAGCCUGAUGCAGCAACGCCGCGUGAACGAAGAAGGUCUUCAGGAUUGUAAAGUUCUGUCCUUAGGGAAGAAGAAAGUGACGGUACCUAAGGAGGAAGCCCCGGCUAACUACGUGCCAGCAGCCGCGGUAAUACGUAGGGGGCAAGCGUUAUCCGGAAUGAUUGGGCGUAAAGAGUACGUAGGUGGUUUCGUAAGCGCAGGGUGAAAGGCAGUGGCUUAACCAUUGUAAGCCUUGCGAACUGCGAGACUUGAGUGCAGGAGAGGAAAGCGGAAUUCCUAGUGUAGCGGUGAAAUGCUUAGAUAUUAGGAGGAACACCAGUGGCGAAGGCGGCUUUCUGGACUGUAACUGACACUGAGGUACGAAAGCGUGGGGAGCAAACAGGAUUAGAUACCC